GAUGAGCAUGCGUCCCAUUAGCUAGUUGGUAAGGUAACGGCUUACCAAGGCUACGAUGGGUAGGGGUCCUGAGAGGGAGAUCCCCCACACUGGUACUGAGACACGGACCAGACUCCUACGGGAGGCAGCAGUGAGGAAUAUUGGACAAUGGGCGCAAGCCUGAUCCAGCCAUGCCGCGUGCAGGAUGACGGUCCUAUGGAUUGUAAACUGCUUUUAUACGAGAAGAAACACUGCUUCGUGAAGCAGCUUGACGGUAUCGUAAGAAUAAGGAUCGGCUAACUCCGUGCCAGCAGCCGCGGUAAUACGGAGGAUCCAAGCGUUAUCCGGAAUCAUUGGGUUUAAAGGGUCCGUAGGCGGUUUGGUAAGUCAGUGGUGAAAGCCCAUCGCUCAACGGUGGAACGGCCAUUGAUACUGCCAGACUUGAAUUAUUAGGAAGUAACUAGAAUAUGUAGUGUAGCGGUGAAAUGCUUAGAGAUUACAUGGAAUACCAAUUGCGAAGGCAGGUUACUACUAAUGGAUUGAC
rnacentral:rRNA from 1 species